UGCUUUUCUCCAUUCCUCUUUUUUAAUUGCUUCCUCAAAAGUUGUUGGAUCUGAAAUAAACAAAGCAAAUGUUGAGUUAUAAAUUUCUGUCAGUGAUCUGAAAUUUUUUGGAGGGGUUUCAUUUGAGGAAUCCGAAUUUGAACUGCUAUUGGGUGAGGUUAACGAUGAACUUAUUGGAGUAGGAUCUGUCACUUGAUUCUGCGGAGUGUCUAGUUCUGCUGGAAUCUGCAUUUGUGUUUCACCUUUAUUGGUCUCCCAAUUCCAACUUGC
rnacentral:lncRNA from 1 species